UACGUAGGGUGCGAGCGUUAAUCGGAAUUACUGGGCGUAAAGCGUGCGCAGGCGGUUGGUUAAGUCAGAUGUGAAAGCCCCGGGCUCAACCUGGGAAUGGCAUUUGAAACUGGCCAGCUUGAGUAUGGCAGAGGGGGGUGGAAUUCCGCGUGUAGCAGUGAAAUGCGUAGAGAUGCGGAGGAACACCGAUGGCGAAGGCAGCCCCCUGGGCCAAUACUGACGCUCAGGCACGAAAGCGUGGGGAGCAAACAGG
rnacentral:rRNA from 1 species